CCUACGGGAGGCAGCAGUGAGGAAUAUUGGUCAAUGGACGAGAGUCUGAACCAGCCAAGUAGCGUGAAGGAUGACUGCCCUAUGGGUUGUAAACUUCUUUUAUAAAGGAAUAAAACGAGGCACGUGUGCCUUUUUGCAUGUACUUUAUGAAUAAGGAUCGGCUAACUCCGUGCCAGCAGCCGCGGUACUACGGAGGAUCCGAGCGUUAUCCGGAUUUAUUGGGUUUAAAGGGAGCGUAGAUGGGUUGUUAAGUCAGUUGUGAAAGUUUGCGGCUCAACCGUAAAAUUGCAAUUGAUACUGGCAGUCGUGAGUACAGUUGAGGUAGGCGGAAUUCGUGGUGUAGCGGUGAAAUGCUUAGAUAUCACGAAGAACCCCGAUUGCGAAGGCAGCUUACUAAACUGUGACUGACAUUGAUGCUCGAAAGUGUGGGUAUCAAACAGGAUUAGAUACCCCGGUAGUC
rnacentral:rRNA from 1 species